CCCUUCGGGGUACUCGAGCGGCGAACGGGUGAGUAACACGUGAGCAACCUGCCCCAAGCUUUGGGAUAACCCUCGAAAACGGGGGCUAAUACCGAAUAGGACUGCUGGCCGCAUGGCUGGUGGUGGAAAGUUUUUCGGCUUGGGAUGGGCUCGCGGCCUAUCAGCUUGUUGGUGGGGUGAUGGCCUACCAAGGCGACGACGGGUAGCCGGCCUGAGAGGGCGACCGGCCACACUGGGACUGAGACACGGCCCAGACUCCUACGGGAGGCAGCAGUGGGGAAUAUUGCACAAUGGGCGGAAGCCUGAUGCAGCGACGCCGCGUGAGGGAUGACGGCCUUCGGGUUGUAAACCUCUUUCAGCAGGGACGAAGCGAGAGUGACGGUACCUGCAGAAGAAGCACCGGCCAACUACGUGCCAGCAGCCGCGGUAAGACGUAGGGUGCGAGCGUUGUCCGGAUUUAUUGGGCGUAAAGAGCUCGUAGGCGGCUUGUCGCGUCGACCGUG
rnacentral:rRNA from 1 species